rnacentral:rRNA from 1 species
GACGAACCGAGCGAACGUUGUUCGGAAUCACUGGGCUUAAAGGGCGCGUAGGCGGGUGCUCAAGUCCGGGGUGAAAUCCUCCAGCUCAACUGGAGAACUGCCUCGGAUACUGGGUGUCUCGAGGGUGGUAGGGGUAUGCGGAACUAUCGGUGGAGCGGUGAAAUGCGUUGAUAUCGAUAGGAACUCCGGUGGCGAAGGCGGGUUGCUGGGCUGAUACUGACGCUGAGGCGCGAAAGCCAGGGGAGCGAACGGG